rnacentral:rRNA from 1 species
ACAGCGGGAAGCCACCUGGCGACAGGGCGCGGAACCCGAAAACCUGUCUCAGUUCGGAUUGGAGUCUGCAACCCGACUCCAUGAAGCUGGAUUCGCUAGUAAUCGCGCAUCAGCCACGGCGCGGUGAAUACGUUCCCGGGCCUUGUACACACCGCCCGUCAAGCCAUGGAAGCCGGGAGUGCCUGAAGUGCGUGACCGCAAGAAGCGUCCUAAGGCAAUACCGGUGACUGGGGCCAAGUCGUAACAAGGUAUC